rnacentral:lncRNA from 1 species
UUGGGUCCUCACCUAAUAGUUAUUGGUGCCCAACCCCACCUUUACCCUACAACAUCUCAUGUCUAUAGAGAGGUCCAGCCUUCCGAUGCAACUUGCCCACUGUAUCCAGCCGAGACAAAUCAACAUCAGAAAGACCUUAGCAGCUCUACUAUAGUGGAAGACCUAUUGACUUAAUAUUGGUUAAUCAGGUCUUAGUGUUUGCAACCUUGGGCUCUUCAUAAGAGGUAAUCGAAUAAUUGGCCAGAUAAGCAGGUGGGAGGCUCCCCUUACUCAGAGAGUAAGGUCCUAAUUAAGUAACCACCUUUCAUGCUUUCCUAUACACCAAUUAGAUCAAUUAAUCUAAUAUGAC